rnacentral:rRNA from 1 species
UAGUAGGUCUGGCCUGCCCAGUGAUAAAAUUUAACGGCCGCGGUAUAUUGACCGUGCAAAGGUAGCAUAAUCAUUAGUCUUUUAAUAGAAGGCUGGAAUGAAAGGUUUAACGAGAAAUUAACUGUCUCAAUUACAAACUUGAAUUUAUCUUUUGAGUCAAAAGACUUAAAUAUCAUUGUGGGACGAGAAGACCCUAUAGAGCUUAACAAUCUUUUUUUUAUAUUUAUUUAGUUAAAUUAUUUAUAUAUAUAUUGAAAAAAUUGUUUUGUUGGGGUGACAAUAAAUAUAUAUUUAACUUUUAUCAUAAUAUAAACAUUAAUUUAUGAUUUUUGGAUCCAAAAAUUUUGAUCAAUAGAUUAAGUUACCUUAGGGAUAACAGCGUAAUCUUCCCUCAGAGUUCAUAUUUACGGGAAGGCUUGCGACCUCG